UACGGAGGGUCCAAGCGUUAUCCGGAUUUAUUGGGUUUAAAGGGUCCGUAGGCGGGAGAAUAAGUCAGUGGUGAAAGCCUACAGCUCAACUGUAGAACUGCCAUUGAAACUGUUUUUCUUGAAUUUAGAUGAAGUGGGCGGAAUAUAUCAUGUAGCGGUGAAAUGCAUAGAUAUGAUAUAGAACACCGAUUGCGAAGGCAGCUCACUAAACUAACAUUGACGCUGAGGGACGAAAGCGUGGGGAGCGAACAGG
rnacentral:rRNA from 1 species